rnacentral:rRNA from 1 species
CGACCGCGUGAGCGAAGAAGGCCUUCGGGUCGUAAAGCUCUGUGUUAGGGAAGAACAAGUAUCGGAGUAACUGCCGGUACCUUGACGGUACCUAACCAGAAAGCCACGGCUAACUACGUGCCAGCAGCCGCGGUAAUACGUAGGUGGCAAGCGUUGUCCGGAAUAUUGGGCGUAAAGCGCGCGCAGGCGGUCCUUUAAGUCUGAUGUGAAAGCCCACGGCUCAACCGUGGAGGGUCAUUGGAAACUGGGGGACUUGAGUGCAGAAGAGGAGAGUGGAAUUCCACGUGUAGCGGUGAAAUGCGUAGAGAUGUGGAGGAACACCAGUGGCGAAGGCGACUCUCUGGUCUGUAACUGACGCUGAGGCGCGAAAGCGUGGGGAGCAAACAGGAUUAGAUACCCUGGUAGUCCACGCCGUAAACGAUGAGUGCUAAGUGUUAGAGGGUUUCCGCCCUUUAGUGCUGCAGCUAACGCAUUAAGCACUCCGCCUGGGGAGUACGGCCGCAAGGCUG